ensembl:lncRNA novel transcript
UGCUCUGGGACCUUAACCCUAAGAAAAGCUAUGAAACUAUUGCUACCUCUGCGCAUGAUCAUCUUCAUGAUACUCAUGCUCUAAUUGAUCAUGACACUGUGUCCCAGAUUUGUCCUUAGAAUCCUUUUCAUCAUGCUACAUGUAGCCACUAAUUUUCAGUUGCAUUUGCUACAAGAGAAGCCCAUUCAGCAUGGUUUGUUCAAAUGGGGGAGGGGGCUAGGAGGCUGGGAGGAGGCAGGGGUAAGGGAAGGGAUUCAUUAACAAGAGGGGACCAGGCACAGAGGAAGAGGGAGUCCUACAGGCAUAAAGAAUGCUAAAUUUGAAAAGAGCAAAGAGUUUUCAACACCGUAAGAAAGAAAAAAAGUUUACCAAAUCUGAUGGCCUUUUUCCUUUCAUAGUUACACCAAUACUAUACGUGUCAUACUUAAGAAUAUUUGUUCUUAUAAGAAAAGAACACAAUAGACUUGAAGUCUGGAGAUCAAAUGUUAUUCCUGUUUUACUUCAACUAACCACUCUGGUUGACCUGGUACUUUCCUUUGAGGUUUUCUUUUAUGUAUUUGUUUUACUGUAUAUUUAAAUACACACAUGUGUGUAUGUAUGUGUGUAUCUGUUCCUGCUAACAAAAGCAAUUUAUUCUUAUUUUGAAAUUUCAACUAUUAGUAAGACAUAUAAUGGAAAAAAUAAGUAAAGAUCCCCCAUAAUAUCUCUCCUAGAGAAAAACCACUCAGUGAUUUGGUGUCCAUUCCUUCAUUUUUUUUUUCUAUUAACAUUUAGUUUAGUCUUUUUAACAACUGCAUAGUAUUCCACUAUUAGAAUGCAUCAUAUUUUAUUUAACCACUACUGAUGGACUUUUGAGUUGGGGACAGUAUUGUCUUAUUACAAGUAGUGCUUUAGUAAACAUCCUAAUAUAUAUGUUUUUGUGCAUUUGUGCAAGUAUUUCUCCAGAGAAAAUUUCUAUAAGUGAAAUUGCAGGAUUGGAGAGUAUGCACACUUAAAGUUUUAAUAGAUCUCCAAAUACGUCAUAUCAAGGUAGACUCUCAGUAGCAGUGUAUUAGACUGCAUAUUUCUGGUUUGUUUUUUAAGGAACAUGAAAACAAUGAGAAAAAGUGUUUAAAGAUUAGGCUCCUAUAUUCUUAGGCCACAGUACUUAAUAGGCAAAAAAUAAUCAUGUCUCCAAGGGGAGUAAUAUCACAGCUGUGGGUUGUCAGGACGUCACAACCAGUAACAAAUCUCACAAUGUACCUUCUUGUACAUUUCAUUGAUUUCUGAGAUUCCUCAGCAUUAUUGGAAUGGAAGAAUACGAUAGUAUUUAUAUGGUUUCACAUUAAAAAGUGAGAUAAAAGGAGGAAAGUAAAACUUGUUUAUGUUGUAAUUUUUAUUCCUUGCUUCAUCUUCAGUUCUAACGCUCAGUCUCAAGAUCAGGACAGCACAUUAUUGGUAAUAAUGUAAUAUAAAAAUUUAGGUUCCUAAAAGUGACAACCUAUUUUCUUCACCAAGUAUCAGUGUUUAAGAAAAAACAACUAAACAACAAAUUUGGGUAGAAAAACAUAUGCCUCUUCAAAAUUACUUAUUGUUUUUAGUUUAAACACUUACAACACUGCCUAGCCUUGUGUGACUUUUGUAUAAAAUAGUGAGCAAGUGUGGCCUAGUGGACAAUAUACUAAUUAAUAGCUAAUACUAAUAACUACUACUAUUUUUGAGUACUAACACAGGCACUGUGUUAAGUGUUUUACAAGAAUUAUCUCAUUUAAUCUUCAUUAUAACCAUAUGACAUGAGAGCUAUUAUUAUCCCAUCUACAGAUACAACAUAUAGUUUUUUCCUGAUAAGCACUUUAAGCACAGUUACAAAUACAGAUGCUUUGGACAGUGAUUUAUAAUGCUGGAAAGUGCCUUAAAGCUCAUCUUCCUCUUAUAACUCAUUUUUCCCUUGGAAGGCGAUACUGAUUGAUUACAUCUUUACUUUUCCUACCUUCGGUAUUGUGAGGAUUAAACAUUACACAAAAAUAGGACAUGCAAUUCGUUCUGGAUUUAUUUGACAAUGAAGGGGAGAACGGUGGAUCUUCUCAGCUGGGAUUGAGCAGGGAUCUGAGCCAGCCUCAGAAGCUGGAAUCCUGCCCAUAGGGUGGCCCUGUUUCACUUCCUUGCUAAUGCCCAGGUGGGCACAACGUGGCUCUACUCUUCAAAAGUUCUCUUAACACAGGAGAGGUCUCAAGCUAGCCCUAAACAAGCAAUAGGAUUAGAUCCUUGAUGCUCAUGGAUAAACCAUCCUGAGGACAAUUUACCUCAUUGAUGAAUUACUGUUGGGCAAUUUAUGAGUUGUACUAUAAUGUGAAAGUGAGGGAGAAGAAAGCCUCAAUGUACAGUAAACACAGAAUUUGGCAGAAAGGGAUCCAUGUAGGAAAAGAAGCCCGCGAAUCUUAGUAGGUACAUGCUGGGCACAGCAUGGGCAAUAAAUUUUGAGGUCUGUAGAAGAAAAAAUUGUAUCACUGAGAUAAAGUAAAAGAAGAGAGAAAAUGAUGUGAAUGCACAAAGAGGGAUUAACAUUCGUUCCGCUUCAAUACAAAAGUAUAUUGUGCUUGUAUUGAAAUAUCAAUUUUGAACAAUACUUCAUCUGCGCCCCAGGCUAUUCGUAAUAAAGAUGUCCUCCUUGGAGCAUAAUGAAGAAGUCUCAGAAAGUUAGCAGUUAGAGGGAAGAUGAUAAUCAAUCAGCCUUGACGCAAUUUGAUCAAAAGUAAUGAAAGAGAUGGAGAGUAGGCGAGUGUUCUGAGCAGCAAACACUUAAGGAAAGAGCAUUCGUUUUUACUGGUGUAACCUUUGGUAUUUAAUGCAUUUACAAAUGAGAAUCUCAUCUCUGCCUGCCAUUCUUCUUUGUUUAAAUAUUGGUUGUUUAUUAAACUCAAUUCCUUAACAAAGUAUUCAGUAUCUAGUCAUGCUUUUAUGUAAGAAAAGAUUCUCCAAAAAAGAUAUAUUUUAGAAAUUGAUUUCUGAACUUUAGGUUUCACACUAUCAUCCCUUUCAGGGCCAGAAAGCAAUUAGCUUUCUGUCAAACUGGGAAGUUAAUCUGGAAUGUUUUCAGGAUGCUCAAGUUCCUGCAAGCUUUAUACCUAAAGCAGAUUCGCAGCUGUUCAGAGAACAACCUUUGAAGUAAUCAUGCUUUGCUAGCAUCUCAGAUGUUUUGCUUUGAUCUGCAGGUACCAUUUUUCCUAAAAAAAAAACUUUCUUAUGAUUGUUGUAUUUCUUGUCACCAAACAUUUAAGUUCUGCAAUGUCCAUAUUCCUGUAAACCAAGGUUGACAUAUAUGGGCAAAUAUUUUGCCAGUUGUGUUGUUUUUGGUAAUAUACAAGUAAGAGAAACAAUAUCACUGAAGCUGUGUUUUCUUUUAAAUUCUCAUUAAAAUUCAUUUUGAUUAUAUAGUAAUUUUAUAUUUUCCUUUCAUGUUCACAUUCUGGAAUUUGAAUAAGAAAGAUGAAGUCAUUUAUCUGCAAACUUUAUGCAAAAUGAGAAAAAGAACAAACAAUUUCUUAAUGAGUUUUAUUCCUAUCAUUGUUACAGCAUAGGUUUUAGGAAGUUUUGUAUAAAAGUAUUUGAUAACUAAUAUAUGUUUAACAAUUAAUGAAAUAUUUACUAAUUAUCUUGCAUAUGAAAUGGUAUUUAUAAAAUGUGAUGGAGAAGGAAAAAAAGAAAAGUGAAAAGGAAACAAGCAAGGAAGGGAGAAAAGGAAGAAACGCUAACAAGAGAAGAUGGAAGUAAAAGAGAAAACAGCUAAAGUCAGGAAAGAAAACAAAAAGAAAGAAGAUCAAAGAAAAGGAGGGAGACAAAAAGAAAAAAAGGCAAAAUUGAAGUGAUUAUUUUCUACAAAUCUCAUUGAGUUAUUGCUAUUAAUAUAUAUUUCUGUAUGUGUAUAAAUGUAUAUAUACACAUAUAUACAUAUACUUCUUUAAAUAAAUGUCUUUAUUUCCUGAGUA